AGCAGCCGCGGUAAUUCCAGCUCCAAUAGCGUAUAUUAAAGUUGUUGCAGUUAAAAAGCUCGUAGUUGAAUUUUGGGUCUGGCCAGGCGGUCCGCCCUCUGGGUGAGCACUGUUCCGACGCCGGGCCUAUCCUUCUGGUGAGUCGGCAUGUCCUUUAUUGGGUGUGCCGGGGAACCAGGACCAUUACCUUGAAAAAUUAGAGUGUUCAAAGCAGGCGUAUGCUCGGAUACAUUAGCAUGGAAUAAUGAAAUAGGACGCGUGGUGCUAUUUUGUUGGUUUCUAGAACCGCCGUAAUGAUUAAUAGGGAUAGUUGGGGGCAUUAGUAUUCAAUUGUCAGAGGUGAAAUUCUUGGAUUUAUUGAAGACUAACUUCUGCGAAAGCAUUUGCCAAGGAUGUUUUCAUUAAUCAAGAACGAAAGUUAGGGGAUCGAAGACGAUCAGAUACCGUCGUAGUCUUAACCAUAAACUAUGCCGACUAGGAAUCGGGCGAUGUUAUUCUCAUGACUCGCCCGGCGU
rnacentral:misc_RNA from 2 species